UAAAACUGAAAACUCGUAAGAGCUCUUCAAAGAUCUCGUCAUUAUCACAUUUCUCGAAUCUUAAGCCUUGUGAUGAUUCGUUGAUAACGAUAACGAUAACAACAUUCAUGGAUGAGAAACUUAUUUCGUUAUCUCUAAUUGGCCAAAAAAAUUCAGUACGGACCAAGGAAAAAAAAACACUUGGCCCCCAAACUUCCAUCUCAGCGCGAUUGCGAAUAUAAAUAGAAUGACAAAAAAAAUGGCCGAUUAGAUAAGAAGAAAUUACGAGGAAUCUUCUACUACUCUUAUGCUACUGUUGUCUUUCUCCUAGAAGGAAAAAGAAACUAAUAACAACACACUUGCCAUCACCUUUGCUUAACGUAGAUAAUUUCAAACAGAAAAUAAAAACAAACAAACAUAACUAGUCGAACUAAUAAGAAACUACUAUUACAUAUAGGCAUGCGCAACACAUAACAUAUAUAUAUACAUAACAUAACAUAUCCUGGCAAUGAAUAAUUGUCUCGUAAACUCUACCAAUAAUAAAAUAAAAAGUAUUGAAAGAAAAA
rnacentral:lncRNA from 1 species